CCUUGAAGCACAGCCAGUGAGGCCGGUAUUCUUCCUCUCCUAUUAAAGUGGGGCUCCCAGGUUUGGGCUUCCAGUGAUCCUAUCACUCAAGUAGAAAACAUAGCACCUGGUAGUUCAAUGCAUUGAAAGAAACAAAAUGCCAGUAGACUAGGAGAGGUAAAUACAUGAAUAUAGAAGCAAAAAGACAACAAUCUCUCAAGUACUGAGCCUGCUUUUGGGUGCAGAUAUACUCCUAAGAUUCAGCAAGUCAGUGCAGCUUCCUACCACUGGACCAGGUGGAACAUCUGCAUGUAUUAUCCAAGACUGCCUCCCACUCCCAUCCCCUCCAACACACUUAUCUACAUGCCUAGGCCUUCAGCAUUCUCACCUUGGAAACACAGCCACUUACCCCA